rnacentral:tRNA from 1 species
AGGGGUAUAGCUCAGUUGGUAGAGCAUCGGUCUCCAAAACCGAGUGUCGAUAGUUCGAAUCUUUCUGCCCCUGCCA